rnacentral:ribozyme from 13 species
AAAGAACAAUUCUCUUUACUAAGUCAAAAAAGCGAGAAGAAUACUCUUCUCUCUCUCUCUCUCUUUCUUUUUCUCCUUCUUCUCCCUCUCUCUUUUCAUAAUUAAGAGGAAGGGGAGAGAGGAGAGAAACAGAGAACCCAAGAGAGGAGAGAGAAGAGAGAAGAC